AGAGUUUGAUCAUGGCUCAGGAUGAACGCUGGCGGCGCGUCCGACACAUGCAAGUCGUGCGGUAGCGGAGGCUUUUGCUUCCGCGAGAGCGGCGAACGGCUGAGUAACACGUAGGUAACCUACCCUUCGGCCUGGGAUAACAAGCCGAAAGGCUUGCUAAUACCGGAUAAAACGAUGGGUGAAACUCCCAUCGUUGAAAGGCUUGCCACCGGAGGAGGGGCCUGCGGCCUAUUAGCUAGUUGGUAGGGUAAUGGCCUACCAAGGCGAUGAUGGGUAGCUGGUCUGAGAGGACGAUCAGCCAGACUGGGACUGAGACACGGCCCAGAUUCCUACGGGAAGCAGCAGUGCAGAAUCUUGCGCAAUGGGCGAAAGCCUGACGCAGCGACGCCGCGUGCGGGAAGAAGGCCUUCGGGUCGUAAACCGCUGUCAGGGGGAAAGAAUAAUGACGGUACCCCCAGAGGAAGCCUCGGCUAACUACGUGCCAGCAGCCGCGGUAAGACGUAGGAGGCAAGCGUUAUCCGGAAUCACUGGGCGUAAAGCGUUCGUAGGCGGUUCCAUAAGUCAGGGGUGAAAUCCCUGAGCUCAACUCAGGAACUGCCCUUGAAACUGUGGGACUGGAGCGCGUCAGAGGGUGGUGGAAUUCCCGGUGUAGCGGUAAAAUGUGUAGAUAUCGGGAGGAACACCAGUGGCGAAGGCGGCCACCUGGGGCGCUGCUGACGCUGAGGAACGAAAGCUAGGGGAGCGAUCGGGAUUAGAUACCCCGGUAGUCCUAGCCCUAAACGAUGGGCACUAGGUGUUGGAAGGCUCGACCCUUUCAGUGCCGAAGCUAACGCAUUAAGUGCCCCGCCUGGGGACUACGGCCGCAAGGCUAAAACUCAAAGGAAUUGACGGGGGCCCGCACAAGCGGUGGAGCAUGUGGUUUAAUUCGAUGCUACGCGAAGAACCUCACCUGGGCUUGACAUGCUAGUGAAAGCCUGGGGAAACCCAGGCCCUCCUUCGGGACACUAGCACAGGUGGUGCAUGGUUGUCGUCAGCUCGUGCCGUGAGGUGUUGGAUUAAGUUCCGCAACGAGCGCAACCCUCGCCGUUAGUUGCCAUCGGUUAGGCCGGGCACUCUAACGGGACUGCCGGCGUCAAGCCGGAGGAAGGUGGGGAUGACGUCAAAUCAUCAUGCCCCUUAUGCCCAGGGCUACACACAUGCUACAAUGGGCGGUACAAUGGGUUGCCACGGAGCAAUCCGGAGCUNAUCCCACAAAGCCGUCCUCAGUUCGGAUCGGGGGCUGCAACUCGCCCCCGUGAAGCCGGAAUCGCUAGUAACCGCCGAUCAGCACGCGGCGGUGAAUACGUUCUCGGGCCUUGUACACACCGCCCGUCACACCACGAAAGUCAGCAACACCCGAAGUCGCUGAGCUAACCCGGGAAACCGGGAGGCAGGCGCCGAAGGUGGGGCUGAUGAUUGGGGUGAAGUCGUAACAAGGUA
rnacentral:rRNA from 1 species